UCCUACGGGAGGCAGCAGUAGGGAAUCUUCCGCAAUGGACGAAAGUCUGAUGCAGCCAUGCCGCGUGUGUGAAGAAGGCCUUCGGGUUGUAAAGCACUUUCAGUCGUGAGGAAGGUAGUGUAGUUAAUAGCUGCAUUAUUUGACGUUAGCGACAGAAAAAGCACCGGCUAACUCCGUGCCAGCAGCCGCGGUAAUACGGAGGGUGCGAGCGUUAAUCGGAAUUAUUGGGCGUAAAGCGCGCGCAGGUGGUUUCUUAAGUCUGAUGUGAAGGCCCACGGCUCAACCGUGGAGGGUCAUUGGAAACUGGGAGACUUGAGUGCAGAAGAGGAAAGUGGAAUUCCAUGUGUAGCGGUGAAAUGCGUAGAGAUAUGGAGGAACACCAGUGGCGAAGGCGACUUUCUGGUCUGUAACUGACACUGAGGCGCGAAAGCGUGGGGAGCAAACAGGAUUAGAUACCCUGGUAGUCCACGCCGUAAACGAUGAGUGCUAAGUGUUAGAGGGUUUCCGCCCUUUAGUGCUGAAGUUAACGCAUUAAGCACUCCGCCUGGGGAGUACGGCCGCAAGGCUGAAACUCAAAGG
rnacentral:rRNA from 1 species